rnacentral:rRNA from 1 species
UACGUAGGGUGCUAGCGUUAUCCGGAAUUACUGGGCGUAAAGCGUGCGCAGGCGGUUUGUUAAGUCUGUUGUGAAAUCCCCGAGCUCAACUUGGGAAUUGCAAUGGAUACUGGCAGGCUGGAGUAUGGUAGAGGAAGGUGGAAUUCCCGGAGUAGCAGUGAAAUGCGUAGAGAUCGGGAGGAACACCAGUGGCGAAGGCGGCCUUCUGGACCAAUACUGACGCUCAUGCACGAAAGCGUGGGGAGCAAACAGG